UACGGGGGGGAGCAAGCGUUGUUCGGAUUUACUGGGCGUAAAGGGCGCGUAGGCGGCGCAACAAGUCACUUGUGAAAUCUCCGGGCUUAACCCGGAGCGGCCAAGUGAUACUGUCGUGCUAGAGUGCGGAAGGGGCUACUGGAAUUCUCGGUGUAGCGGUGGAAAUGCGUAGAUAUCGAGAGGAACACCUGCGGCGAAGGCGGCGCUCUGGGCCGGAACUGACGCUGAGGAGCGAAAGCGUGGGGAGCAAACAGG
rnacentral:rRNA from 1 species